rnacentral:rRNA from 1 species
UACGGAGGCAGCAGUGGGGAAUAUUGCACAAUGGGCGAAAGCCUGAUGCAGCUAUGCCGCGUGUAUGAAGAAGGCCUUAGGGUUGUAAAGUACUUUCAUCGGGGAGGAAAACAAAACUAAUAAUUUUAUUUCUUGACGUUACCCGAAAAAGAAGCACCGGCUAACUCCGUGCCAGCAGCCGCGGUAAUACGGAGGGUGCUAGCGUUAAUCAGAAUUACUGGGCGUAAAAGAGCACGUAGGUGGUUUUUUUAAGUCAGAUGUGAAAAUCCCUGGGCUUAACCUAGGAACUGCAUUUUUGAAAACUGAAAUACUAGAGUAUCGUAGAGGGAGGUAGAAUUCUAGGUGUAGCGGUGAAAUGCGUAGAUAUCUGGAGGAAUACCUGUGGCGAAAAGCGGCCUCCUAAACGAAUACUGACACUGAGGUGCGAAAAGCGUGGGGAGCAAAACAGGGAUUAGAUACC